ACUACGGGUGGCAGCAGUGGGGAAUAUUGGGCAAUGGGCGCAAGCCUGACCCAGCAACGCCGCGUGAAGGAAGAAGGCUUUCGGGUUGUAAACUUCUUUUCUCAGGGACGAAGAAAGUGACGGUACCUGAGGAAUAAGCCACGGCUAACUACGUGCCAGCAGCCGCGGUAAUACGUAGGUGGCAAGCGUUAUCCGGAUUUAGUGGGUGUAAAGGGCGUGUAGGCGGGAGCGCAAGUCAGAUGUGAAAACUCAGGGCUCAACCCUGAGCCUGCAUUUGAAACUGUGUUUCUUGAGUGCUGGAGAGGCAAUCGGAAUUCCGUGUGUAGCGGUGAAAUGCGUAGAUAUACGGAGGAACACCAGUGGCGAAGGCGGAUUGCUGGACAGUAACUGACGCUGAGGCGCGAAAGCGUGGGGAGCAAACAGGAUUAGAUACCCCUGUAGUC
rnacentral:rRNA from 1 species